CCAUUUGAUAUGUUAUUGGAGAACAAUGCACAAAUAUUACGUAAAAAGCUUGUGAUUUGAAGAGGUAUUUAGAUUAACUGAGUAGAUAAUAAGUGGGGAUUAAGUGAAGUUACUUGGUUUGCUAACAAAGGAGUUCAUAACAGAUUAAUCAAUAAAAGAAAAUCGGGGAAAACAUCAUUUAAUCUGCGGAAGUAAGACAAAAAACUGGAAAAUAUGUGGAGGAUAGGGAUAUUCGAAAUACAUUGGUCGUCAAAAAUAUGAUUUGUCAUCAAUUGCAUCAUAAUUGAAAAAGACGCCAUUUUGGAGGCACAGAACAACAACCUACUUAAAAGUCGAGGAAAUGACACAUGAACGUAAUAAACGAAUUUCCACUCGCACAAUUCAAGUAGUUGGACGUCUCCAGGACCACCGUCCACGCCGUCAGCAAGUCCAAACGUUGGAGAGGAAGAGGGCUUUCUCAAAAAGGCCAAACUGUACGUAAAGGAGUUAAAGAAAACGAUCCAGGCCAAUCCCCUCCGGUCCAUGAGAAGCCACGCAAGAAAUCUCAAAGAUUCACACCACUCUCCAGAGAGCAUUCAAAAAGUGGAAAUAUCCUUCUGAGGAUGGAGAGGCCACUUUUAACACCAGCAAUAAAAGAAAAUCAUCUCCAAGUAUUUUCAGUUCUUUUGACACUUUUGAGCACCUACAGCCCUGAUGUCCACCCCUCGACUACAACUUUUGAGAGCAUGUUGAUGGGAAGGCCUGCAGUGUCCUUCAUCCAAACACCGAGGCCCUCAAACCCACUGUCAGCCAGCACUCUGACGCGAUAACGGAGAACCACAUCCAAGCGUGUGCCAGGCUUCCCACCGCCACCUGGAAGCCAUCAUUGCCGCUUAGAACGGUACAUUAAUGAUUAAGAGAGCCCAGACACACAUCUAUUUUUAACAUUAAUUAUGUGGAAAUUAUGUUGUUAAUUAAUAA
rnacentral:lncRNA from 1 species